GACGAACGCUGGCGGCGUGCCUAAUACAUGCAAGUCGAACGCAUUUUCUUUCACCGUCGCUUGCUACACCGACAGAAAAUGAGUGGCGAACGGGUGAGUAACACGUGGGCAACCUGCCCAUCAGCGGGGGAUAACACUUGGAAACAGGUGCUAAUACCGCAUAAUUCCAUUUACCGCAUGGUAGAGGGAUGAAAGGCGCUUUUGCGUCACUGAUGGAUGGACCCGCGGUGCAUUAGCUAGUUGGUGGGGUAACGGCCUACCAAGGCUGCGAUGCAUAGCCGACCUGAGAGGGUGAUCGGCCACACUGGGACUGAGACACGGCCCAGACUCCUACGGGAGGCAGCAGGAGGGAAUCUUCGGCAAUGGACGCAAGUCUGACCGAGCAACGCCGCGUGAGUGAAGAAGGGUUUCGGAUCGUAAAACGCUGUUGUUAGAGAAGAACAAGGAUGAGAGUGGAAAGUUCAUCCCUUGACGGUAUCUAACCAGAAAGCCACGGCUAACUACGUGC
rnacentral:rRNA from 1 species